rnacentral:rRNA from 1 species
UACGAAGGGGGCUAGCGUUGUUCGGAUUUACUGGGCGUAAAGCGCACGUAGGCGGAUCGUUAAGUCGGGGGUGAAAUCCUGGAGCUCAACUCCAGAACUGCCCUUCGAUACUGGCGAUCUUGAGUCCGGAAGAGGUGAGUGGAACUCCUAGUGUAGAGGUGGAAUUCGUAGAUAUUAGGAAGAACACCAGUGGCGAAGGCGGCUCACUGGUCCGGUACUGACGCUGAGGUGCGAAAGCGUGGGGAGCAAACAGG